rnacentral:sRNA from 1 species
UCUCUUGGUUCCCAUAGAGGAAGUAAAAGUCGUAACAAGGUCUCCGUAGGUGAACCUGCGGAGGGAUCAUUACACAAAUAUGAAGGCGGGCUGGAACCUCUCGGGGUUACAGCCUUGCUGAAUUAUUCACCCUUGUCUUUUGCGUACUUCUUGUUUCCUUGGUGGGUUCGCCCACCACUAGGACAAACAUAAACCUUUUGUAAUUGCAAUCAGCGUCAGUAACAAAUUAAUAAUUACAACUUUCAACAACGGAUCUCUUGGUUCUGGCAUCGAUGAAGAACGCAGCGAAAUGCGAUAAGUAGUGUGAAUUGCAGAAUUCAGUGAAUCAUCGAAUCUUUGAACGCACAUUGCGCCCUUUGGUAUUCCAAAGGGCAUGCCUGUUCGAGCGUCAUUUGUACCCUCAAGCUUUGCUUGGUGUUGGGCGUCUUGUCUCUAGCUUUGCUGGAGACUCGCCUUAAAGUAAUUGGCAGCCGGCCUACUGGUUUCGGAGCGCAGCACAAGUCGCACUCUCUAUCAGCAAAGGUCUAGCAUCCACUAAGCCUUUUUUUCAACUUUUGACCUCGGAUCAGGUAGGGAUACCCGCUGAACUUAAGCAUAUCA